UGUUCAGUUCCCUGAGUGCAAGUUCUUCCUCCACAGAAGGAGGGUAAGAAUGACAUCACAGAUCUCUGAAGGUAUAAAAUACACCAGCACCUGUUGCUCUGUCCUUUUUUCCUUGCCGAGGAACACAAUGGAGGAGGAGGAGGAAGAGGAGGGAGAUAAGUUGCUGUCGAACUGAAAGGACACGAAUCCGAUCUGCUACCACGGGCAGAUCAAUGAUCCUUUUUUCCCCCAUUACCCCUGGAUUCUGAGGGCAGGGAAAAGGACAUCGAAAAGCAUGGACCCGGGGUGACUACACAACCAAUCCCUACUGUUUUUACAAAAGGGACCCAGACUCACGCAGGCUCACUGUGGUGAGUGGCCGAACACACGAGGAAGAACAAGAACUGAAGUGGACUACAAUGUCGCUUUGGGAGAGCUGUUAUUAAUGAUUCAGUUCAUGAAGUUCAUGUCACAAUAAUGUGAGCAUAUAUAUUCUCAACGGAAGUUCUGGUCAAGGGCAUCAUAUCAGAAAUAGAUAAUGAGCCAAGAAGAUUAUUAAAACUCUAGCUGAUUUGAAAAAAUACAUAAAAUAUCUAAGCUUUUGGGUAUUUCCAAAUGGCGAUGCAAUAAUCACUGUGAACCCCUAUUCAUGUAACAUGGGAAACAUGAGAUAUAUAAAAGAUGUGUAUGUAUUCAAAGCUAUUGAGUAAAGAUAAUCAAUGUUGAGGUUGGUAGGACAAAUAUAUAUUCUGUGACUAUUUCACGGUAAAUAUCACCAAAGUGAAAUGUUUAUCUACUUGGUUCUGUGGGUCAAGGACCAUGGGUAAAAUAAA